rnacentral:rRNA from 1 species
UGCUUGGGAAUAUGCCUUAUGGUGGGGGACAACAGUUGGAAACGACUGCUAAUACCGCAUAACGUCUACGGACCAAAGGGGGGGAUUCAUUUAUGAGCCUCUCGCCAUUUGAUUAGCCCAAGUGAGAUUAGCUAGUUGGUGAGGUAAUGGCUCACCAAGGCGACGAUCUCUAGCUGGUUUGAGAGGAUGAUCAGCCACACUGGGACUGAGACACGGCCCAG